rnacentral:rRNA from 1 species
GGGGGGCUUAAAACAUGCCAAGUUCGAGCGAGACUUCGGGUCUAGCGGCGGACGGGUGAGUAACGCGUGGGACCGUGCCCUUCUCUACGGAAUAGCCCCGGGAAACUGGGAGUAAUACCGUAUACGCCCUUUGGGGGAAAGAUUUAUCGGAGAAGGAUCGGCCCGCGUUGGAUUAGGUAGUUGGUGGGGUAAUGGCCCACCAAGCCGACGAUCCAUAGCUGGUUUGAGAGGAUGAUCAGCCACACUGGGACUGAGACACGGCCCAGACUCCUACGGGAGGCAGCAGUGGGGAAUCUUAGACAAUGGGGGCAACCCUGAUCUAGCCAUGCCGCGUGAGUGAUGAAGGCCUUAGGGUUGUAAAGCUCUUUCAGCUGGGAAGAUAAUGACGGUACCAGCAGAAGAAGCCCCGGCUAACUCCGUGCCAGCAGCCGCGGUAAUA